AGAGAGAGAGAGAGAGAGAGAGAGAGAGAGAGAGAGAGAGAGAGAUUGUGAUGAUCCCACUUGUGAAUAAGUUGGGUCAUAGUAAUGUGGAGGAGGAUGCAGAGACUGCAAUCGUUUUGGCUAGGUUUUCAGAGCCUAGUGGCUUCAUCUGCAUUCAGCAUUUGAAUGCCAUGGACAUACAUCAAAAGUUCUCUAGGUGUAAGCCUUUUCGUGGUCUCUAGGUUCUCGAAAGAAGGGGCUUGUACAUUUUGGUUUGUCAAAGUGGAAGUUUGAACAAUGAUAUAGUUUUAUUGCGUUAUGUAGUAGCUCUUAUUUUCGGGGUUUUCAAUUGCAAUGAAGGAUUAACUUUACUGAGAACCAAUUGUGGAUACAAGAUCUGGUGGAAUCUCUUGACUUAUGAGUAUUUAAUACACGCUCCGAUUGUGUCAUUGAUCUUUUUAUGAAUGUGGAGUAAAUCCUUUCUUUCUAGCUUUAUACUUUACCAUGUCAUGAAUUAGGACAUGCUGCAACCAACCAUUUAUUGGUUAUGACGAAUGAAUGCUGUGAAAAGCAUCUUCGUCCUAGAGUUAGGUUCUUCUUCAUGUUUUUCUCUCGUUGAUAAGUUUUCUUGUAAUUAUUCAUGCCUGAGAUUUCACAGCAUUGGUUUGACUUGCAUAUGUUUGCCAUCAUCUUCUUUUCUGUUUUCUGAUGGGUUGGAAUUGAACUUUGGUAUUCACUCACUCCUGAUAUUUCAUGCAGGAUUUUUCUUACAUAUGCAUCUUUGGCAUUGAUUUGUUGUAAUGGCACCUGCCCACAAACUACUGUGAUGGCAGUUGUGUUUGUACUUUGUGUAAAGUUGUUUAUUUUUCUUGUUUGGCUUAAACAGGAAUGAAAAGGAAAUGUUUUAUUUGAUGAUUGCCUCUAUUAGAUAUCAAACCAGUAACUGCAUUCUGGACUAUUCAUAGAAAUGUUCAAUCUGCAUGCUAGUUUUGGUUACAAGAUAAUGUGACACAUCACUGUUGUAGAAAGAAUAGUCAAAGACUGUGAAAGUAGACUGUGUUCCCUCCAUGCCUAUAUUUUUAACAUGAAUUAUGUUUUUCUUAACUUUUCUAGCUCAAUUAUUCAUCACAAAAAAUAAUACUAAGAAAAAAGUUCAGUUCCUAUUGUUUCUUAUUACUAGUUUCUGUACUUUUAAGGCUGUCUUUUUUAAUUAAUUCUUGCAGAGGAGGAGGCUCGGAAAGGACAAUGUGGCAGGAAUGAUCCCUUGAAAUAUUAUUGAACAAGCUAUGUGAGCUCACUUCAUGUGAAAGGGAGAGUGUGAAAUUGUGUGAGCUCACUUCUUGAACAAGUUAUGAUUUUGUGAAUUGAGCCCUACUUAGUGCAUAUGUGGACCACCUGUGGCAGAGGUGAUCAAAUAGAAAUAUGGAAUAGAUGCAUCUGGAUGGCUACCUAGAGGGGCGGUCACCCACGAGCCUCAGGCGCAUGAAAAAGCAAUUGCAAGCAUUUUCUUGUUUUUCUCAACUGGCAUUCUCUCUGUCAAGACUGGGUGCGAAUAAUUCUGAAAGGAUGUGUGUGGGUGCUUCACAGAGCUUGGAGUUGCAAUUUCCCAGCAUCUUCCUUAUUGCAGCCCUUCAGCAGGCAAAGAUUGCUGACUGCCAUGAGACUCUUGCCCCUGGGACCUUGGGGGUUGUUGGAGUUGCAAUUUCCCAGCAUCUUCCUUAUUGCAGCCCUUCAGCAGGCAAAGAUUGCUGACUGCCAUGAGACUCUUGCCCCUGAGACCCUAAAUCGGCACUUCAUUUCAUUUUUGGGAAAGGGACAAAUUGGUUUGGAUUCUCAAGAUGCAGGCCUUCAACUGGUUUGUUAUUCGAUGGAGCUUUGACCCAAGACAAUAUUCAAAGAAGAGGUAUCCCCCUACCUAAUAGACGCCCAAUGUGCAAAGAAGCAGGAGGUAACCGUUUACUAUCUUUUUCUCCACUGUAAAAUGGCAUCUCACAUCUGGUUCUCCAUCCUAAAUCUUUUUGGACUGGGUGCUAGGUCAUGGCGACUUUAGUACCCGACACUUUCAAAAUCUUAUUUCACCCUUCAUUUCCCCACCUCUGGCCUAAUUCUAUGUUGGGCUGUUGAUCUUGUCUCCAUUGGGAUCAUUGGUAGAGACUCCCUUCCUUUCCCCACCUCUGGCUUAAUUCUAUGUUGGGCUGCUGAUCUUCUCUCCAUUGGGAUCAUCGGUAGAGACUCCCUUCCUUUCCCCACAUCUGGCUUAAUUCUAUGUUGGCCUGCUGAUCUUGUCUCCAUUGGGAUCAUGGGUAGAGAGGAACAAAUCCGAUUUGGAAAGCAAGUAGAGCCACAUCAAACCCCUCAAUGAAAGAAUCAAAGCCACCAUUUUGAGAUUAAAAAGUAUUGAAAUCUAUACCUUGAUGGCCCUAGGGCAAAGCUGGGAAUAUAAUAUCGGUUCUAUCCUGCAGACGAUCACUAGAUCCUCUUGUUGGAUUCUGCCCAAUCCUGGAGUAAUCAAGUUGAAUUUUGACAGUCCUCGCACAGCUGGUUCUCUGGGCAUUUUCAGGAACCACUUAGCUGAAACCUUGCUAACAUACGGGAUUGUUAGGUACACAAGAUGCUACCUCUGUCGAGGCACAAGCCCUACUAAAGGGUCUCAAAAUGUUUGACACUAACGGCAGAAGCUCCCUUCUGGUAGAAGGGGACUUCCAAAAAGGUCAUUAACUGGAGGAAGAAAUCAGCCCCAUGCCCAUGGAGACUUGGAGUCCACCUUUGAUGACAUCUUCUUCCAAUUAUGCCAAGCUCUGCAAGUCAUUUUCUGGCAUUCGUGGUGAGGAGCAAAAGCUUGUGUGUUACCCUUUCUGAAGAUGGAGCCUCUAGAACGGAUCCUGGUUUGUUUGGGCCAUCCUGUAAGGAAUUUUGAUACUUGAUUUCUAUAGGAAUCCUUCACUAAAAGUGUUUUUUUUUUUUUGACAAGGUUACAAAGGAAUAGAACCUGAGAUGUCAUGGAAAACCGAACAGUUACCAUCUUGACCCAAGCCUGAUUCCUUACCUUUCACUAAAAGUUGUCAUUGGCACAAAAGGAAGUUGUAUAUGGCAUCUCCAUAAUUGUGCGGUUGUGCCUGCCACCAUCCUCACCUCCCAUUUGUAUUCCUUUUAUCUGUUACAUGGAUACAAAUACAUCUUGGUUCCUGACAACAUGGAUAUAUGUUAGAAAUGCCAACCUCAUAAUUGGCCUUUGAUUGAGAAUACAUCACUUAGAGAGGGUGGGAGGUGGGAUUUUAAGUGAUUGGAUUUUACGUGAAAUUAAGGGUUUUCAUUGUAAAA